rnacentral:misc_RNA from 1 species
GAUGAAGAACGUAGCGAAAUGCGAUAAGUAGUGUGAAUUGCAGAAUUCAGUGAAUCAUCGAAUCUUUGAACGCACAUUGCGCCCCCUGGUAUUCCGGGGGGCAUGCCUGUCCGAGCGUCAUUGCUGCCCUCAAGCACGGCUUGUGUGUUGGGCUCCGUCCCCCCGGGGACGGGUCCGAAAGGCAGCGGCGGCACCGAGUCCGGUCCUCGAGCGUAUGGGGCUUUGUCACCCGCUCUGUAGGCCCGGCCGGCGCCAGCCGACAACCAAUCAUCCUUUUUUCAGGUUGACCUCGGAUCAGGUAGGGAUACCCGCUGAACUUAAGCAUAUCAAUAAGCGGAGGA